rnacentral:lncRNA from 1 species
AUUUGGGUUUCUGGGCUUCCUUGAAGCAGAGGGGCUAUGGCUAUAGCCACUGCUCUUUCCAGAGCUAUGAGUGCCCACUGAGUGAGGUGAUCAUAAAGUAGCACUGUGGGAGAGAACCUGAUCUUGCCGCAAAUGAAGAUAGCAGCUAUAAGUCUAUUUGCAGCUCGGAAAGCACAAACAUUCUGAGAGAUGUCCAUCUACACAGGUGGGAGCCAGGGAAAGGAUAAGACCACCUCUGGAUGGCCCCACCCUCCAGCAAAGGAAGAGUUUCUCUCAAUUGGUGAAUGGAUGAACAAGGUAUAGUAUAUAGCCAAUGUGGGAAUUUUUUACAAGGGUUUUAUUUUUCUUUCUUUUUC